CCAGGGAUUCCCCUUACAAUAUUAUAAAUGUGUCCAGCCUUUAAAUAGAUAAUACUGUAUACAAAGUCAUCAGUUGGUGAAGUGCCAGUGAGAGUAUAUUACCUACAAUAAAUAAUAAUAAAAAUCGUAAAUAUGUUCGCAAAAUUUUUUGCUAUAUUUCUAGUGCUCAUCGUUGCUGUUACUGUCGAAGCUUACAAGAUGCACUGCCAAGCACAGGGCUAUUGUGUGACAGAUAAAAGUGCAUGCCCAGGCUUCAUCAUGGAUGACACCACUGGAUGCUAUGGAAAACUGUGCUGCAUCGAAGAUUUGUAAAUUAUCACUUACCUACAGUCAGCGUCAAAGAGUUCGUGACAUCUAAGGCCCAGAACAGACGGUGAAACGUAACUGCAACGAAACUGCAACUGCUAGUUACUUUUGAGUUGCAUCAAGUUUCUGCCAUAGCGUCCGUUGAGAGACCACACAUGACGCGACCAGUUUGAAACUUUCAGUUUCAGUUUCAUUCAUCAGAAUCAUCAUAAAGUUGCAGUUUCGUUGCUGUUGCGUUUCACAGUCUGUUCUGGGCCUAAAGUGGCCAAAAAGACGUGUUGCGAAUUUUUUGGCUAUCUUGGGUGUCACGAACUACAUAUUUGACGCUGGUCGCUGACUGUACUUCAAAUUAAUGUAAUGUAAGCGAUAUCUUUCGAAUAAAGUCCUUAGAGACAACAACAUAAUAUAAUAUUGUAUAACCAAAAUAAAUCAUUUUUCUGAUAUCUACCUACACUACAUACCUGUAGUUGUAGAGAUGAAUACCUACUUACUGAAUUCUAUAUAAACGAAAUUAAAUUAAAAA